GCCGCCGGUACGGCCGCGGAGCUAACGCGCUCUGCGCAGCGCCCGGCUGCCGGGCAGUGCGGAGCAGAGAUUCGGGCUCCUCCAUCCGCAGCGCUACCAAACGAAGCUGAGCGAAGAUGUUUGAUUUCUUCUUGAACGCUUCCGAACGCCUCGAAACGACCGCUGUAAGGUCUCCGGCGUUCUGCAAGGUCGGUGCAUAGCCUCGGCUCUCCCUGGUGGCUGCGUUACGCUUCUUCCCCUCGAUGCCCCAUUGCUCCCGCGGGGACCCGUGGGACAACUCAACCGGCGGGGCCGAGGGGCAGACCCCAGCAGGGAGGCGCCGUUGCCCUUUUUUGCUUUCCUCUUGCCGCGUCUCCAAGGCGGCCGUUCGCUCAUCUCCUUCUUUGUGUGCCGUGAAGGUCGCCGGGCUGCGAGCGCUCAGUGCCCGAGGAAUUGAACUUGCCCCCACUCCACUGUGGAGACGAAAUUUCACCCUUCCUCCCUGUGCGACUGCGCUGCCCGCUGGAGCCCUCUGUUUGCAGCUUGAGCCCACCUCCCUCCUGCCGGUUCUACUAUAGUUUCCCCGGAUGGGAUUUCCCAUGCUUGGGCCUUUCCUGCAACAGAGCCCAGGACCUAAGGCUCCCUGUGAAAGCUUUGGCUUAACUCCCUGUGCUUCACUGCUUCCAAGCAUACACCGAGGCAAAGCAAGUAUUCAUUGGUAAAAAUCAGCGCAAAAAUUAGCUGUCACCGAUUGAUUGCCAAUAAAAAGGCCCACAAAUCCCCCUCA